rnacentral:rRNA from 1 species
AACGAACGCUGGCGGCAGGCCUAACACAUGCAAGUCGAGCGCGCCCUUCGGGGUGAGCGGCGGACGGGUGAGUAACGCGUGGGAACGUACCCUUUGCUACGGAAUAGCCUCGGGAAACUGAGAGUAAUACCGUAUGCGCCCUUUGGGGGAAAGAUUUAUCGGCAAAGGAUCGGCCCGCGUUGGAUUAGGUAGUUGGUGGGGUAAUGGCCCACCAAGCCGACGAUCCAUAGCUGGUUUGAGAGGAUGAUCAGCCACACUGGGACUGAGACACGGCCCAGACUCCUACGGGAGGCAGCAGUGGGGAAUCUUAGACAAUGGGGGCAACCCUGAUCUAGCCAUGCCGCGUGAGUGAUGAAGGCCUUAGGGUUGUAAAGCUCUUUCAGCUGGGAAGAUAAUGACGGUACCAGCAGAAGAAGCCCCGGCUAACUCCGUG